rnacentral:tRNA from 1 species
GGGUGCGUAGUCCCGUACGGCGCGGGGAAGGACUGUAAAUCCUUUGUCCACUGGACCCAGGUGGUUCAACUCCACUCGCACCCA